AAUCUGUGGUACGAGCAUUUUUGAAUCAACAUUUUGAAAUGUUCUCAUGCCUCAUAGAAACUUUCUCCUUCUAUCUGUCUAACAACAACAAUCUCUCUUUUUAGCU
rfam:Gossypium raimondii chromosome 7, whole genome shotgun sequence.